GUGAAUCAUCAAAUUUUUGAACGCAAAUUGCACUCUCUGGUAUUCCGGAGAGUAUGCCUGUUUGAGGGUCAGUUUAAAUAAAAAUCGGUGUGGUUGCUGCCUUUCGUGGUGACGCACCGAAUUUGGUUGGCUUGGCCUUGGGUUAGUGGACCUAAAAUUUGGCAUGAUUUUUUUCAAACGUAUUUAAAUAAUUUUAGGAACGUUUCGA
rnacentral:misc_RNA from 1 species